AACGAACGCUGGCGGCAGGCUUAACACAUGCAAGUCGAGCGCCCCGCAAGGGGAGCGGCAGACGGGUGAGUAACGCGUGGGAAUCCACCCAUCUCUACGGAAUAACGCACGGAAACGUGUGCUAAUACCGUAUACGUCCUUCGGGAGAAAGAUUUAUCGGAGAUGGAUGAGCCCGCGUUGGAUUAGCUAGUUGGUGGGGUAAAGGCCUACCAAGGCGACGAUCCAUAGCUGGUCUGAGAGGAUGAUCAGCCACACUGGGACUGAGACACGGCCCAGACUCCUACGGGAGGCAGCAGUGGGGAAUAUUGGACAAUGGGCGCAAGCCUGAUCCAGCCAUGCCGCGUGAGUGAUGAAGGCCCUAGGGUUGUAAAGCUCUUUCACCGGUGAAGAUAAUGACGGUAACCGGAGAAGAAGCCCCGGCUAACUUCGUGCCAGCCGCCGCUGUAAUAC
rnacentral:rRNA from 1 species